CUCAGGAUGAACGCUGGCGGCGUGCCUAAUACAUGCAAGUCGAGCGACUGAUUAGAAGCUUGCUUCUAUGACGUUAGCGGCGGACGGGUGAGUAACACGUGGGCAACCUGCCUGUAAGACUGGGAUAACUUCGGGAAACCGAAGCUAAUACCGGAUAGGAUCUUCUCCUUCAUGGGAGAUGAUUGAAAGAUGGUUUCGGCUAUCACUUACAGAUGGGCCCGCGGUGCAUUAGCUAGUUGGUGAGGUAACGGCUCACCAAGGCAACGAUGCAUAGCCGACCUGAGAGGGUGAUCGGCCACACUGGGACUGAGACACGGCCCAGACUCCUACGGGAGGCAGCAGUAGGGAAUCUUCCGCAAUGGACGAAAGUCUGACGGAGCAACGCCGCGUGAGUGAUGAAGGCUUUCGGGUCGUAAAACUCUGUUGUUAGGGAAGAACAAGUANNAGAGUAACUGCUCGUACCUUGACGGUACCUAACCAGAAAGCCACGGCUAACUACGUGCCAG
rnacentral:rRNA from 2 species